GAUGAACGCUGACAGAAGGCUUAACACAUGCAAGUCAACUGUGGCGGACGGGUGAGUAACGCGUAAAGAACUUGCCUCACAGUUAGGGACAACAUGUGGAAACGAAUGCAAAUACCUGAUACUGUGAGAGAGCUUUGCGUCCCAUUAGCUAGUUGGAGAGGUAACGGCUCACCAAGGCGAUGAUGGGUAGCCGGCCUGAGAGGGGGAUCGGCCACAAGGGGACUGAGACACCGCCCUUACUCCUUCGGGAGCCAGCAGUUGGGAAUAUUGGCCAAUGUACCACAGUCUGAUCCAGCAAUUCUGUGUGCACGAUGAAGUUUUCGGAAUGUAAAGUGCUUUCUGUUGGGACGCGGUACCAACAGAAGAAGUGACGGCUAACUCCGUGCCAGCCGCCGCGGUAAUAC
rnacentral:rRNA from 1 species